rnacentral:rRNA from 1 species
GUACAAGCAGUGGGAGCCCUUCGGGGUGACUGCGUACCUUUUGUAUAAUGGGUCAGCGACUUACAUUUUGUAGCGAGGUUAACCGUAUAGGGGAGCCGUAGGGAAACCGAGUCUUAACUGGGCGUCUAGUUGCAAGGUGUAGACCCGAAACCGGGUGAUCUAGCCAUGGGCAGGUUGAAGGUUGAGUAACAUCAACUGGAGGACCGAACCCACUAACGUUGCAAAGUUAGGGGAUGACCUGUGGCUGGGGGUGAAAGGCCAAUCAAACUCGGAGAUAGCUGGUUCUCCCCGAAAGCUAUUUAGGUAGCGCCUCGGACGAAUACUACUGGGGGUAGAGCACUGUUUGGGCUAGGGGGUCAUCCCGACUUACCAACCCCAUGCAAACUCCGAAUACCAGUAAGUAAUAUCCGGGAGACACACGGCGGGUGCUAACGUCCGUCGUGAAGAGGGAAACAACCCAGACCGCCGGCUAAGGUCCCAAAGUUCUGGUUAAGUGGGAAACGAUGUGGGAAGGCUCAGACAGCUAGGAUGUUGGCUUAGAAGCAGCCAUCAUUUAAAGAAAGCGUAAUAGCUCACUAGUCGAGUCGGCCUGCGCGGAAGAUGUAACGGGGCUCAAACCAGGCACCGAAGCCGCGGAUUCACACUAAGUGUGAGUGGUAGGGGAGCGUUCUGUAAGUCUGCGAAGGUGUGUCGAGAGGCAUGCUGGAGAUAUCAGAAGUGCGAAUGCUGACGUAAGUAACGAUAAAGGGGGUGAAAAGCCUCCUCGCCGGAAGACCAAGGGUUCCUGUCCAACGUUAAUCGGGGCAGGGUGAGUCGACCCCUAAGGCGAGGCCGAAAGGCGUAGUCGAUGGGAAGCAGGUUAAUAUUCCUGCACGACUUGUAAUUGCGAUGGGGGGACGGAGAAGGCUAGGUGGGCCAGGCGACGGUUGUCCUGGUGAAAGUGCGUAGGUGGUGUUUCUAGGCAAAUCCGGAGACACAACACUGAGACACGAGACGAACGCACUACGGUGCGGAAGCCAUUGAUGCCCUGCUUCCAGGAAAAGCCUCUAAGCUUCAGAUUACAAGUCAUCGUACCCCAAACCGACACAGGUGGUCGGGUAGAGAAUACCAAGGCGCUUGAGAGAACUCGGGUGAAGGAACUAGGCAAAAUAGAACCGUAACUUCGGGAGAAGGUUCGCUCUUGACAGUGAAGUCCCUUGCGGAUGGAGCAGUUGGGAGUCGCAGUGACCAGAUGGCUGGGACUGUUUAUCAAAAACACAGCACUCUGCAAACACGAAAGUGGACGUAUAGGGUGUGACACCUGCCCGGUGCCGGAAGGUUAAUUGAUGGGGUUAGCGCAAGCGAAGCUCUUGAUCGAAGCCCCGGUAAACGGCGGCCGUAACUAUAACGGUCCUAAGGUAGCGAAAUUCCUUGUCGGGUAAGUUCCGACCUGCACGAAUGGUGUAACCAUGGCCAUGCUGUCUCCACCCGAGACUCAGUGAAAUCGAAUUCGCCGUGAAGAUGCGGUGUACCCGCGGCUAGACGGAAAGACCCCGUGAACCUUUACUACAGCUUGGCACUGAACAUUGAACCUACAUGUGUAGGAUAGGUGGGAGGCUUUGAAGGCGUGACGCCAGUUGCGCUGGAGCCGUCCUUGAAAUACCACCCUUGUAUGUUUGAUGUUCUAACGCAGGCCCCUGAAUCGGGGUCGCGGACAGUGCCUGGUGGGUAGUUUGACUGGGGCGGUCUCCUCCCAAAGAGUAACGGAGGAGCACGAAGGUUGGCUAAUCCUGGUCGGACAUCAGGAGGUUAGUGCAAUGGCAUAAGCCAGCUUAACUGCGAGACGGACAGGUCGAGCAGGUACGAAAGUAGGUCAUAGUGAUCCGGUGGUUCUGAAUGGAAGGGCCAUCGCUCAACGGAUAAAAGGUACUCCGGGGAUAACAGGCUGAUACCGCCCAAGAGUUCAUAUCGACGGCGGUGUUUGGCACCUCGAUGUCGGCUCAUCACAUCCUGGGGCUGAAGUCGGUCCCAAGGGUAUGGCUGUUCGCCAUUUAAAGUGGUACGCGAGCUGGGUUCAGAACGUCGUGAGACAGUUCGGUCCCUAUCUGCCGUGGGCGUUGGAUGAUUGAAGGGAGUUGCUCCUAGUACGAGAGGACCGGAGUGAACGAACCUCUGGUGUUCGGGUUGUCACGCCAGUGGCACUGCCCGGUAGCUAAGUUCGGAAUCGAUAACCGCUGAAAGCAUCUAAGCGGGAAGCGAGCCCUGAGAUGAGUCAUCCCUGACCCCUUGAGGGUCCUAAAGGGCCGUUGGAGACCACAACGUUGAUAGGUGGGGUGUGUAAGCGCGGCGACGUGUUGAGCUAACCCAUACUAAUUACCCGUGAGGCUUAACCAUACAACACCCAAGAAGUGUU